CAGGUUCCUAUAGUUGAGGUUUCAUACAACAGUGGUUUUUCAAGCCGCAGGCCUUGGAGAAAAGCCAAGUAGGAAUG
rnacentral:tRNA from 1 species